rnacentral:rRNA from 1 species
GUCUACGGCCACUCUGAACAAGCCCGAUCCUAUCUGAUCUUAGAAGCUAAUAAGCAAGAUCGGGCCUGGUUAGUGCUUGGAUGGGAGACCAUCUAGGAAGACCAAGUGCUAUAGGUG